rnacentral:rRNA from 1 species
AUACGUAGGGGGCGAGCGUUGUCCGGAAUGAUUGGGCGUAAAGGGCGCGCAGGCGGCUUUGCAAGUCAGUAGUGGAAGUCCAUUUUUCAAGGAUGGAAGUGCUACAGAAACUGCGGAGCUUGAGUGCAGGAGAGGUUAUCGGAAUUCCCGGUGUAGCGGUGAAAUGCGUAGAGAUCGGGAGGAACACCAGUGGCGAAGGCGGGUAACUGGACUGCAACUGACGCUGAGGCGCGAAAGUGUGGGGAGCAAACAGGAUUAGAUACCCUGGUAGUCCACACUGUAAACGAUGAAUGCUAGGUGUAGGAGGUAUCGACCCCUUCUGUGCCGCAGUAAACACAGUAAGCAUUCCGCCUGGGGAGUACGGUCGCAAGAUUAAAACUCAAAUGAAUUGACGGGG